rnacentral:rRNA from 1 species
GAUGAACGCUGGCGGCGUGCCUAAUACAUGCAAGUCGAGCGAACAGACGAGGAGCUUGCUCCUCUGACGUUAGCGGCGGACGGGUGAGUAACACGUGGAUAACCUACCUAUAAGACUGGGAUAACUUCGGGAAACCGGAGCUAAUACCGGAUAACAUGUUGAACCGCAUGGUUCAACAGUGAAAGACGGUCUUGCUGUCACUUAUAGAUGGAUCCGCGCCGCAUUAGCUAGUUGGUAAGGUAACGGCUUACCAAGGCAACGAUGCGUAGCCGACCUGAGAGGGUGAUCGGCCACACUGGAACUGAGGCACGGUCCAGACUCCUACGGGAGGCAGCAGUAGGGAAUCUUCCGCAAAGGGCGAAAUCCUGGCGGAGCAACGCCGCGUGAGUGAAGAAGGUCUUCGGAUCGUAAAACUCUGUUAUUAGGGAAGAACAAAUGUGUAAGUAACUAUGCACGUCUUGACGGUACCUAAUCAGAAAGCCACGGCUAACUACGUG